GAUGAACGCUGGCGGCGUGCUUAACACAUGCAAGUCGAACGAAGCACUUUAUUUGAUUUCCUUCGGGACUGAUUAUUUUGUGACUGAGUGGCGGACGGGUGAGUAACGCGUGGGUAACCUGCCUUGUACAGGGGGAUAACAGUUGGAAACGGCUGCUAAUACCGCAUAAGCGCACAGCAUCGCAUGAUGCAGUGCGAAAAACUCCGGUGGUAUAAGAUGGACCCGCGUUGGAUUAGCUAGUUGGUGAGGUAACGGCCCACCAAGGCGACGAUCCAUAGCCGACCUGAGAGGGUGACCGGCCACAUUGGGACUGAGACACGGCCCAAACUCCUACGGGAGGCAGCAGUGGGGAAUAUUGCACAAUGGGCGAAAGCCUGAUGCAGCGACGCCGCGUGAGCGAAGAAGUAUUUCGGUAUGUAAAGCUCUAUCAGCAGGGAAGAUAAUGACGGUACCUGACUAAGAAGCACCGGCUAAAUACGUG
rnacentral:rRNA from 1 species